UACGUAGGGUGCGAGCGUUUGUCCGGAAUCAUUGGGCGUAAAGAGCGCGUAGGCGGUCCGGUAAGUCCGCUCUGAAAGUCCGGGGCUCAACCCCGGGAGGCGGGCGGAUACUGUCGGGCUAGAGUCCGGAAGAGGAGAGUGGAAUUCCUGGUGUAGCGGUGAAAUGCGCAGAUAUCAGGAGGAACACCCGUGGCGAAAGCGGCUCUCUGGGACGGUACUGACGCUGAGACGCGAAAGCGUGGGGAGCAAACAGG
rnacentral:rRNA from 1 species